rnacentral:rRNA from 1 species
AGCAACCUGCCCUUCACUCUGGGAUAACCUCGGGAAAUCGGGGCUAAUACCGGAUAUGAGCUCCUGUCGCAUGGCGGGUGUUGGAAAGUUUUUCGGUGAAGGAUGGGCUCGCGGCCUAUCAGUUUGUUGGUGAGGUAGUGGCUCACCAAGGCGAUGACGGGUAGCCGGCCUGAGAGGGCGACCGGCCACACUGGGACUGAGACACGGCCCAGACUCCUACGGGAGGCAGCAGUGGGGAAUAUUGCACAAUGGGCGAAAGCCUGAUGCAGCGACGCCGCGUGAGGGAUGACGGCCUUCGGGUUGUAAACCUCUUUCAGCAGGGAAGAAGCGAAAGUGACGGUACCUGCAGAAGAAGCGCCGGCUAACUACGUGCCAGCAGCCGCGGUAAUACGUAGGGCGCAAGCGUUGUCCGGAAUUAUUGGGCGUAAAGAGCUUGUAGGUGGCUUGUCGCGUCUGCCGUGAAAACCCGAGGCUCAACCUCGGGCGUGCGGUGGGUACGGGCAGGCUAGAGUGUGGUAGGGGAGACUGGAACUCCUGGUGGUCGUCAGCUCGUGUCGUGAGAUGUUGGGUUAAGUCCCGCAACGAGCGCAACCCUCGUUCCAUGUUGCCAGCGCGUAAUGGCGGGGACUCAUGGGAGACUGCCGGGGUCAACUCGGAGGAAGGUGGGGACGACGUCAAAUCAUCAUGCCCCUUAUGUCUUGGGCUUCACGCAUGCUACAAUGGCCGGUACAAAGGGUUGCGAAACUGUGAGGUGGAGCGAAUCCCAAAAAGCCGGUCUCAGUUCGGAUUGGGGUCUGCAACUCGACCCCAUGAAGUCGGAGUCGCUAGUA